rnacentral:rRNA from 1 species
AGCGAACGCUGGCGGCGUGCUUAACACAUGCAAGUCGAACGAAGGCUUCGGCCUUAGUGGCGGACGGGUGAGUAACGCGUGGGAACCUACCUUGCGGCGGGGAAUAACAGUUGGAAACGACUGCUAAUACCGCAUCAGCCCUACGGGGGAAAGGCUUAGGCCACCGCUUGGGGGUCCCGCGUCCGAUUAGCUAGUUGGUAGGGUAACGGCCUACCAAGGCGACGAUCGGUAGCUGGUCUGAGAGGAUGAUCAGCCACACUGGGAGUGAGACACGGCCCAUACGUCUACGGACGGCAGCAACAGGGAAGUGUGCGCAAUGGACGAAAGUCUGACGCCGCAAUGCCGCGUGAGGGAUGAAGGCCUUCGGGUCGUAAACCUCUUUUGCCAGACAGGAGAUGGUCUGGAGAAUAAGUGACUGCUAACUCUGUGCCAGCAGCCGCCGUAAUAC